rnacentral:rRNA from 1 species
AAUGGCCUAACGGCUGAACCAGCAACUUGGAAGAAAAAUAAAAGUUUUAUACUUUAAACGAUUUAUCGUAUAAAUUUCUAUAUAAAAAUUUAUAAUGACAAUUUUUAUUAUAAGUCUUGUCCAAAUUACGUGCCAGCAGACGCGGUAAUACGUAGAAGACUAGUGUUAUUCAUCUUUAUUGGGUUUAAAGGGUACCUAGACGGAAAAUAAAGCCAACAACGGAACUAAUUUUCUAGAGUUUUAUGAAAGAAGAUAGAAUUUAUGGAGUAAAGUUAUAAUUUAUUGAUACUGUAAGGACUGUUAACAGCGAAGGCAAUCUUCUAUGUAAAAACUGACGUUGAGGGACGAAGCCUAGGGUAGCGAUAAGGAUUAGAUACCCUAAUAGUCCUAGGAGAAAAAUAUGAAUGUCAUAAACUAGAUUGUAAUUUUAGUUUAUAAAUGAAAGUGCAAGCAUUCCACCUCAUGAGUAAAGCGGCAACGCUCAAAUUGAAAUCAUUAGACCGUUUCUGAAACCAGUAGUGAAGUAUGUUAUUUAAUUCGAUAAUACGCGAAAAACCUUACCACGUCUCGUAUGUUUAUAUACAUUAUAUAAAUACAAGUGUUGCAUGGUUGUCUUUAGCUGAUGUCGUGAGAUUUGGUUAACUCCUAUAAUUAGCGCAAGCCCUUACUUUAAUUUAAACAUAAAGUAGUUCACCAAUUAUAACGGUAAAGAUAAAAGGGAUUAAGGCAAAUCAUUAUGGCCAAAAUGACGUGGGCUAUAGACGUGCCGCAUACGCCUUUACAAAGGGAAGCAAAAUUGCGAAAUCUAGCUAAUCCCUAAAGAAGGAUAUAACAGAAUAU